UCCUCAUUUAAUAAUUUGAGGUAGGGCCUGCCCAAUGCAAAAAAGUUAAUGGCCGCAGUAUUCUGACUGUGCAAAGGUAGCAUAAUAAAUUGGCUUUUAAUUGAAGUCUGGAAUGAAUGGUUUGACAAGGAUUUGACUGUCUUAGAACAAUGGAUUUUGAAAUUUAAUUAUCUGUAAAAAUGCGGAUAUGAAAGAGAGGGACGAGAAGACCCUAUAGAUCUUUAAUGAAUUUUUUAAGUAUCAUAUUUUAAGCUUUGAAAAUUUUUUUUAUUUGGGGAAAAUCCUGAAAUAUAAUAAACUUCGGUUAAUGAAAAAAUUUAAUAAUUAAUUUUUGAUCCACUAAUAUUGUGAAAAGAUGAAAAAGUUACCUUAGGGAUAACAGGACAAUGAUCUUUUUUGAGGUCUUAUCAAAAGAGACGUUUGUUACCUCGAUGUUGAAUUAAGUUAUCUAAAAAAAGGAGAAAUUUUUAUAGUUGGUCUGUUCGACCAUUGAAAAC
rnacentral:rRNA from 1 species